GGGUCAGUAGGUUGGUCAUGCCUCUGGUAUGCACUGGUCCCACUGAUUCCUCCUUCCUGAUGAGCCGUAAUGCCAUUAAUUUGGUGUUGCGGGGAAUCUGGACAGUUACUUUGAAAAAAUUAGAGUGUUUAAAGCAGGCUAACGCUUGAAUACAUUAGCAUGGAAUAAUGUAAUAGGACGUUCGAUCCUAUUUUGUUGGUUUCUAGGAUUGACGUA
rnacentral:rRNA from 1 species